GGAAUUCUAUUAAUUGUGGACUGGUGUUGUCUAUCUUUAACAACUUUGUGACUUUUAUUGUUCUUAGAUUAUCGAUUAUUAAUUCCGCGUAUGUAUAAUUUGUUGUUGUCCUUUUUUUCUUUCCCUUUUUGUCUUUUCUUUGAUCUCUUCUUUUCCUAAUUUCCUUUUAAUUGUAUUCUUUAUUUUUGUAUUUCAGCUAUUCGCCCAAUGAAUCCUCAUUUGUUAGUUUACUUAUCUAAAUAGUCACUACGUUUUUAUUUUUCAGGAUCUCUGAAUAUUUAAUUGAGCACUCUAAUUCGAUGUCAAUCACUGGUAAUGAGUAUUAAGGACGGUAGCAACCCGCAACUUUCAAAUUCUUGAUCGCCUCCGCUCUGCCUUUCCAGACCCCACUUGUGCGAUUACACUUGGUAUGUUGUUGUGGGCUGAAAGUGUGAGUGGAUGGAAUUUUAACAGUAUCUUAUACUUUGAGUAAUGUUUUAGCUAACUAACUUUAAUAACUCAUAUACUUUUCUUUACUUCAAUGGCUGUUUUACAAUAGGAAUUUUGUGAUGUAGUACUAUUUCUUUUGUGAAGUGGUGAUACAAUUUUCUGAAAUCGUCCAGGCCCUUGAAGGAAAUUGAUCCUUUUCUUUGACAUCUGAAUUAAAUCAACUAAAUGUAUGGUUUAAUAUAUCUUUUUGCCUUAUUAAUUUUCAGAAAAGAUGUCCACAGAGAAGAAAGUUACAGUAAUGGAUCGAAUCUCUCAGUCAGUGGCGGAGCCGCAGCCCCACGAAGGGUUGACCACACUUUGUAG
rnacentral:lncRNA from 1 species